UAGGGAAUCUUCGGCAAUGGGGGCAACCCUGACCGAGCAACGCCGCGUGAGUGAAGAAGGUUUUCGGAUCGUAAAGCUCUGUUGUAAGAGAAGGACGUGUGUGAGAGUGGAAAGUUCACACAGUGACGGUAACUUACCAGAAAGGGACGGCUAACUACGUGCCGG
rnacentral:rRNA from 1 species